AUUAACCCAACAUUUACUCAAACUCCCCAUUAUCCAGAAAGGGGAACUGAGGCUCAUGGAUAUACAGUGAGUCCUACCUCCUAGCCUGAGGACUCUUCCCUGCGCCUUGAUGACCUGAGAGAACUGGGAGGAGAAAGGGGUUGUGACAAUGACCAGGACUCAGGGCAGAGGUGGAAACCAGAGUGCCUGAUGUGUGCAGCUGCUGACCCCCCAGGACACCUCUCUACCGGAGUCUGUGGAAGCAGAGAACUGGGAGGCCAAGGCGCUGUCCACGCCCCGAGGCCUGGGCUCAGGCCGAAGUUGCUCCACAGCACCCCCAGCUGACAGCCAGCGACUGGCAGAGCCCCCAGGCACGGGGGCCCUCUCUC
rnacentral:lncRNA from 1 species